AGAACAGCAGCAUCAGUUCUGUGCUAGCCCAACUCAAAAUGCAUAACUUAGGUCUAAUCAUCAGGAAACACUGGAUAAAUUCAUGUUGAUGGACAUUCUAUAAAGUGACUGGCUUAUAAUCUUCAAAAGUUUCGAGGUCAUGAAGGUCAAAGAAAAAUGGAGAAAGUGUUACAGAUGGAAAGAAACUAGAAAAUAGGAAAACUGUGUACAAUGAAUGAUCGUGGAUCUUACCCUUUACUUUAAAGCAUACUAUUGGGAUAAUCGGCAAAAUCUUAGUAAGUAUGCAAACAAAAGAAAGUCAUGCGAAGACACAGUAAGAAGGUGGCCUUCUGCAGAAGAGGAAGAGAGCCCUUACCAGUAAAUGAAUUUGCCUGCAUAUUAAUCAUGGACUUCUAACCUCCAGAACUGCUCUAAAGAUGAAUUCAUCUCCUUGCCUUUUCCCACUUAAAGAGGCUGUCCACCCACAGUGCUUGGCUUGUGAGCCGUUGCUCUGUCUUCAAAGCCGGGAACCAGUUAGAAAAGCUGAAACAGAAGAUCUGGCAGGGCCUGGAGGAGCAGCUGGCUGAGACAUUGCCCUGUCCCAACAAGUGAGCCACCAGAAAGCAGCAACUCAUAUCCUGCACGAACCUCCCCAAAAUAAAAUAGUACAGGUACUU